rnacentral:rRNA from 1 species
UGGGGAAUAUUGCGCAAUGGGGGGAACCCUGACGCAGCCAUGCCGCGUGAAUGAAGAAGGCCUUCGGGUUGUAAAGUUCUUUCGGUAUUGAGGAAGGUUGAUGUGUUAAUAGCACAUCAAAUUGACGUUAAAUACAGAAGAAGCACCGGCUAACUCCGUGCCAGCAGCCGCGGUAAUACGGAGGGUGCGAGCGUUAAUCGGAAUAACUGGGCGUAAAGGGCACGCAGGCGGUUAUUUAGGUGAGGUGUGAAAGCCCCGGGCUUAACCUGGGAAUUGCAUUUCAGACUGGGUAACUAGAGUACUUUAGGGAGGGGUAGAAUUCCACGUGUAGCGGUGAAAUGCGUAGAGAUGUGGAGGAAUACCGAAGGCGAAGGCAGCCCCUUGGGAAUGUACUGACGCUCAUGUGCGAAAGCGUGGGGAGCAAACAGGAUUAGAUACCCUGGUAGUCCACGCUGUAAACGCUGUCGAUUUGGGGGUUGGGGUUUAACUCUGGCGCCCGUAGCUAACGUGAUAAAUCGACCGCCUGGGGAGUACGGCCGCAAGGUUA